CAACAAAGAUGGAUCACGAAAAAGAUCAGAAAGCAGCAGUGUCAGGAGCAGCAGAAGUAGCAGAGAUGUUGGUGGGAACAGGGACAGGAGACACAAACAGAAAAGAAACAGAAAAGCCAAGACAUGUAGGAAGAACAAGGAAACCAGCAAGUAGUUCUCUCCUAACAAAAAAGGAAAUUAAAAUCUGACUGAC